rnacentral:rRNA from 1 species
AGGACGAACGCUGGCGGCGUGCUUAACGCAUGCAAGUCGAGCGGUGAUCCUCCUUCGGGAGGUGAUCAGCGGCGAACGGGUGAGUAACACGUGGGCAACCUGCCCCUCACACUGGGAUAACCUCGGGAAACCGGGGCUAAUACCGGAUACGACCUCGAGCGGCAUCUCUUGAGGUGGAAAGCUCCGACGGUGAGGGAUGGGCCCGCGGCCUAUCAGCUUGUUGGUGGGGUAAUGGCCUACCAAGGCGACGACGGGUA